CAGUCGAGGUACCGCCCUAUUAAACGCGGUUUUCACCUGAAUGACAGGUGCGACAGCCUAUUGGCUGCUGCUCCGGGUGUAUUUAAGGCGUAGUUUGUCACCUGGGUACGCAUGAUCAUACAAUCAUUGUGUGGGCGCGCGCGUGCAGCUAGCGGGAGCCAGGUUAUGGUCCCGAUUGGUACGACGUUGCUGUUGGAUACAGGCUGUCUUUCACUCCAGGUUGUGUGUGCUCUGGAUUACCUGCAUAUUUGAAGUUCGUUGAUUACAGAUAAAGCUGUGAGUAACUGAACCCGUGUGCUUCACGCUCUACUUCCGGUGCAUCUGCUCGUAAGCACAUCGUUGCUGUGGACUGCAUGGCGAAUGCUCCUUAGACCACGUGAAGACUGCACUGUUUUGUUUUGGUGCUAUUUUUAUGACCGUGACUGUUUAUAUUUGAUUACUUUCUGUUUUUGUUUGUCACGCUCCAUGCUGGUGGCUUAGGUGAAGUGUGGCUAGUUCGAGCCGUCUUGAGCGAGAGGUUCCGUUAACGGUGCCUGCUCAACUUCACCGGUUGUUAUAUCGCCACCAACAGCGUGUUUGUUUAAUGUUGAUUGAGUUUUCUGUGUUGAAGACUCCUUUCAGCUUUAGGUUUUUGUCCUUUUGUUAACUUGUUUUUUUUUGUAUUUAGUGUGCUUUAAUUUGAAGACUGUUGUCUUCAUGUGCAUUGUUUGCUUUAUUUUUUUUUUCUCUUGGUUGUGCUCUUCUUGUUUAAUCCCUUGCUGCUCCAUGGCAUGUCUAGGUUUGAGCUUUUUGACACGAACCUAGUGUUUACAUUCUUCUGCCUGAUCCUGGUGGCCAGUAAAUUGUCCAUUGUGUUCCCCUUUACGGGUGCACUUAUUCUAAUGCAAGUUGUUGGGUUGAUUUGUGAGUUGAACUAAUUUUGUUAUUCUCUUGUUUAUUUCAGGAGCUGGAGGCCCCAGUGAGGGAAGCUAGCUGUCUUGGCCCUGUGGUGGUGGUGUUUCUCAGUGUUUGUUUGCCAUUGAUCUCUGCGUUUCCCUCACUUAGAAUGGGUGUGGUGUGAGUGUUUGGGAGCGGUGUGUCUUAGGAUACUCACUGUUCAGCUAGCUACCCUACUGGUAAGCCUCCGCCAGAAAGUUUCUUGUCUGUCUUUUUAUUUUUGUCUCUGUUUGGUCAGUUUUUAUUAUUAAUUAUUGUGUAAUAAAAGUAUUUGAUAUUUGUA